AACGAACGCUGGCGGCGUGCUUAACACAUGCAAGUCGAGCGGGAACGGGUCCUUCGGGGCCCUAGUACAGCGGCGCACGGGUGAGUAAUACGUAGGUGAUCUACCUCUCGCUGGGGAACAACUCCGGGAAACCGAAGCUAAUUCCGCAUUCGCCUGCCGGAUCACGGUCCGGCAGGGAAAGGUGGCCACUCCAUGGAAGCUAUCGGCGAGAGAUGAGCCUGCGUCCCAUCAGCUAGUUGGUAGGGUAACGGCCUACCAAGGCAACGACGGGUAGCUGAUCUGAGAGGAUGAUCAGCAACACUGGAACUGAGACACGGUCCAGACUCCUACGGGAGGCAGCAGUGGGGAAUAUUGCGGAAUGGGCGAAAGCUUGACGCAGCAACGCCGCGUGGGCGAUGAAGGCCUUCGGGUCGUAAAGCCCUGUCAGGAGGAGCGAACACCCGGUGAGAACAAUACCUCAUCGGUUUGACGGUACCUCCAGAGGAAGCACCGGCUAACUCCGUGCCAGCCGCCGCGGUAAAAC
rnacentral:rRNA from 1 species